UACAACUCACAGCCCAUAUGGGGGGCAUGCAUGUUUUACAAACAGCCCUUGUUUUUUCUUGUUUUUUUAGUUGUAGUUAAUACCUUUUUUCAUGUUUCCUUAGGUUGUAAUCCUUUUCUGUUAACUAUCUGUGUUUCCUCCAAAGGCUUAACUAACUUUUGAGCAAGAGAUGAUACUUCAGAUGUUUUUAUACCAUCUCAUUUCAGUUCACUUUUAGCUGAAUUUACAGUUUGUUCUGAUGGAGAAACUGAGUUGAUGCUGACACUACUUUCUGGAGCAGACUUUUGUGAGGUUGCAAAUCCCUUCCCAACCUGAGAAGGAUUCCAUUGCUGUGGAGUGCAUUGAACGAGAUCAUGGCCUAGAAGAACAUACCCGGGGAUAAUACCAGCAGCAACAAGUAUCACGCAACCGCCAAAAUGCACGCCGCCAUUUUGAAGCACGUCUAAGUGAACCGAUGGUUUCCAUGGAUUCCAUGAAGAUUCAAUUGAUUUGCUGGUUUUUAAUUGUCCAAUUAUUUUUAAAAAUAAACAUUUUGG